AGGUAAGCUACUAAGAGCGAAUGGUGGAUGCCUUGACUGGUAAAGGCGAUGAAGGACGUACUAGACUGCGAUAAGCUACGGGGAGCUGUCAAGAAGCUUUGAUCCGUAGAUUUCCGAAUGGGGCAACCCAAUGUAUAGAGAUAUACAUUACCUAUAUAGGAGCGAACGAGGGGAAUUGAAACAUCUUAGUACCCUCAGGAAAAGAAAUCAAUAGAGAUUGCGUCAGUAGCGGCGAGCGAAAGCGCAAGAGGGCAAACCCAGUGCUUGCACUGGGGGUUGUAGGACUGCAAUGUGCAAGAGCUGAGUUUAGCAGAACAUUCUGGAAAGUAUAGCCAUAGAGGGUGAUAGUCCCGUAUGCGAAAAACAAAGCUUAGCUAGCAGUAUCCUGAGUAGGGCGGGACACGAGAAAUCCUGUCUGAAUCCGGGUCGACCACGAUCCAACCCUAAAUACUAAUACCAGAUCGAUAGUGCACAAGUACCGUGAGGGAAAGGUGAAAAGAACUGAGGUGAUCAGAGUGAAAUAGAACCUGAAACCAUUUGCUUACAAUCAUUCAGAGCCCUAUGUAGCAAUACAGGGUGAUGGACUGCCUUUUGCAUAAUGAGCCUGCGAGUUGUGGUGUCUGGCAAGGUUAAGCAAACGCGAAGCCGUAGCGAAAGCGAGUCUGAAUAGGGCGCUUAGUCAGAUGCUGCAGACCCGAAACGAAGUGAUCUAUCCAUGAGCAAGUUGAAGCUAGUGUAAGAACUAGUGGAGGACUGAACCCAUAGGCGUUGAAAAGCCCCGGGAUGACUUGUGGAUAGGGGUGAAAGGCCAAUCAAACUUCGUGAUAGCUGGUUCUCUCCGAAAUAUAUUUAGGUAUAGCGUUGUGUCGUAAUAUAAGGGGGUAGAGCACUGAAUGGGCUAGGGCAUACACCAAUGUACCAAACCCUAUCAAACUCCGAAUACCUUAUAUGUAAUCACAGCAGUCAGGCGGCGAGUGAUAAAAUCCGUCGUCAAGAGGGAAACAACCCAGACUACCAGCUAAGGUCCCUAAAUCUUACUUAAGUGGAAAACGAUGUGAAGUUACUUAAACAACCAGGAGGUUGGCUUAGAAGCAGCCAUCCUUUAAAGAAAGCGUAAUAGCUCACUGGUCUAGUGAUUUUGCGCGGAAAAUAUAACGGGGCUAAAGU
rnacentral:rRNA from 1 species